GACGAACGCUGGCGGCGUGCUUAACACAUGCAAGUCGAACGGUAAGGCCCUUCGGGGUACACGAGUGGCGAACGGGUGAGUAACACGUGGGUGAUCUGCCCUGCACUUCGGGAUAAGCCUGGGAAACUGGGUCUAAUACCGGAUAGGACUCCUGGCUUCAUGGUUGGGGGUGGAAAGCUUUUGCGGUGUGGGAUGGGCCCGCGGGCUAUCAGCUUGUUGGGGGGGUAAUGGCCUACCAAGGCGACGACGGGUAGCCGGCCUGAGCGGGUGACCGGUCACACUGGGACUGAGAGACGGCCCAGACUCCUACGGGAGGCAGCAGUGGGGAAUAUUGCACAAUGGGCGCAAGCCUGAUGCAGCGACGCCGCGUGAGGGAUGACGGCCUUCGGGUUGUAAACCUCUUUCAGCUAUGACGAAGCGCAAGUGACGGUAGUAGCAGAAGAAGGACCGGCCAACUACGUGCCAGCCGCCGCCGUAA
rnacentral:rRNA from 1 species